UUGGUCCAUUAAUAAUUAUAUUAUUAUAAAGUUUUAUUCUUACUUAAUAAUUUAUUAUAAAAUAAUAUUAUAUGUAAAUUUUUAUUAAUUUGAUUUCUUAAUGGGGUUAAAUAAGAUAUAAUUCAGUAAUAAAAAUUAUAUAUGAGAUUUUUCUUUAUUUAGUUAAUUUUAUUGAAUGUUGAUAAUAUAUGUGCCAGCAGUCGCGGUUAUACAUAGGAUAUAAGUGAAUUUAUUUAGUAAAUUAGUUAUUUUGAUAUUAUUAGUUUAUAUUGAUAGUUUUAGGGUGAAAUUUAAAUUUUUGUUUAAGAUUAAUUUAUUGAAAGAGAGGCUAAGAAAUUUAAGAUAAUUAAACUAGGAUUAGAUACCCUAUUAUUUUAAAUUUAAAAAUUGAGACUUGAGUAGUAUUUGUUAUGAUCAUGAAACUUAAAGAAUUUGGCGGUAUUUUAGUCUUUUUAGAGGAAUCUGUUCCGUUAUCGAUAUUCCACGUUAAAUCUUACUUAAUUAAUUAUAAUUAAAGUUUGUAUACCGCCGUUCUUGAAUAUUCUUUUAGGAUUAUAUAUUCUUAAAAUUUAAUUUAAUUUUAUUUCAGGUCAAGGUGCAGCUUAUAAUUAAGUGGAAAUGGGUUACAAUAUAUUUAAUAUAAAUGAAUUAUAAAUUUGGAUUUUAUAUGAAGGUGAAUUUAAUAGUAAUUUUAAUUAGAAUAUUAUUAUGAUUAUGGCUCUAAAAUGUGUACACAUCGCCCGUCACUCUCAUUAAUAAGAUGAGAUAAGUCGUAACAAAGUAGGUGUACCGGAAGGUGUAGCUAGAAUGAG
rnacentral:ncRNA from 1 species